GAUGAACGCUGGCGGCGUGCUUAACACAUGCAAGUCGAACGGUGAACGAGGGAGCUUGCUCCCUCCGGAUCAGUGGCGAACGGGUGAGUAACACGUGAGCAAUCUGCCCUGGACUCUGGGAUAAGCGUUGGAAACGACGUCUAAUACCGGAUACGAGGCGUGGGGGCAUCCCCAACGCCUGGAAAGAACUUCGGUCCAGGAUGAGCUCGCGGCCUAUCAGCUAGUUGGUGAGGUAACGGCUCACCAAGGCGACGACGGGUAGCCGGCCUGAGAAGGUGACCGGCCACACUUGGACUGAGACACGGCCCAGACUCCUACGGGAGGCAGCAGUGGGGAAUAUUGCACAAUGGGCGCAAGCCUGAUGCAGCAACGCCGCGUGAGAGACGACGGCCUUCGGGUUGUAAACCUCUUUUAGCAGGGAAGAAGCGAAAGUGACGGUACCUGCAGAAAAAGCACCGGCUAACUACGUGCCAGCCGCCGCCGUAACAC
rnacentral:rRNA from 1 species